rnacentral:tRNA from 2 species
GGGGCUGUAGCGCAGCUGGUAGCGCACCGCACUGGCAGUGCGGGGGUCACGGGUUCGAAUCCCGUCAGCUCCA